AAGACCUUGCGCUUUUGGAGCGGCCGAUGCCUGAUUAGCUUGUUGGUAAGGUAAAAGCUUACCAAGGCUUCGAUCAGUAGCUGGUCUGAGAGGACGGCCAGCCACACUGGGACUGAGACACGGCCCAGACUCCUACGGGAGGCAGCAGUGGGGAAUUUUGGACAAUGGGGGCAACCCUGAUCCAGCCAUGCCGCGUGAGUGAAGAAGGCCUUCGAGUUGUAAAGCUCUUUCAGCCGGAACGAAACGGUUACGGUUAAUACCCGUGAUUACUGACGGUACCGGAAGAAGAAGCACCGGCUAACUACGUGCCAGCAGCCGCGGUAAUACGUAGGGUGCGAGCGUUAAUCGGAAUUACUGGGCGUAAAGCGUGCGCAGGUGGUUUUGUAAGUCAGAUGUGAAAGCCCCGGGCUCAACCUGGGAACU
rnacentral:rRNA from 1 species